rnacentral:tRNA from 1 species
GCGAGAGUGGCGAAAUUGGUAGACGCAAGGGACUUAAAAUCCCUCGGUUGGUGACAACCGUGUCGGUUCGACCCCGACCUUUCGCACCA